rnacentral:rRNA from 1 species
CAGUAGCCACGGUAAUACGGAGGGAGCUAGCGUUGUUCGGAAUUACUGGGCGUAAAGCGCGCGUAGGCGGUUACUCAAGUCAGAGGUGAAAGCCCGGGGCUCAACCCCGGAACUGCCUUUGAAACUAGGUGACUAGAAUCUUGGAGAGGUCAGUGGAAUUCCGAGUGUAGAGGUGAAAUUCGUAGAUAUUCGGAAGAACACCAGUGGCGAAGGCGACUGACUGGACAAGUAUUGACGCUGAGGUGCGAAAGCGUGGGGAGCAAACAGGAUUAGAGACCCCCGUAGUCCCUGUCUCUUAUAC